rnacentral:rRNA from 1 species
AGAGUUUGAUCCUGGCUCAGGAUGAACGCUAGCUACAGGCUUAACACAUGCAAGUCGAGGGGAAACGACAUCGAAAGCUUGCUUUUGAUGGGCGUCGACCGGCGCACGGGUGAGUAACGCGUAUCCAACCUGCCCACCACUUGGGGAUAACCUUGCGAAAGUAAGACUAAUACCCAAUGAUAUCUCUAGAAGACAUCUGAAAGAGAUUAAAGAUUUAUCGGUGAUGGAUGGGGAUGCGUCUGAUUAGCUUGUUGGCGGGGUAACGGCCACCAAGGCUACGAUCAGUAGGGGUUCUGAGAGGAAUGUCCCCCANAUUGGAACUGAGACACGGUCCAAACGUCCUACGGGAGCA